CCUAGGGAGUCAGCAGUGGGGAAUAUUGGACAAUGGGCGAAAGCCUGAUCCAGCCAUGCCGCGUGUGUGAAGAAGGCCUUCGGGUUGUAAAGCACUUUCAGUGGGGAAGAAAGCCUUGGGGCUAAUACCCUCGAGGAAGGACAUCACCCACAGAAGAAGCACCGGCUAACUCCGUGCCAGCAGCCGCGGUAAUACGGAGGGUGCGAGCGUUAAUCGGAAUUACUGGGCGUAAAGCGCGCGUAGGCGGUCUGAUAAGCCGGUUGUGAAAGCCCCGGGCUCAACCUGGGAACGGCAUCCGGAACUGUCAGGCUAGAGUGCAGGAGAGGAAGGUAGAAUUCCCGGUGUAGCGGUGAAAUGCGUAGAGAUCGGGAGGAAUACCAGUGGCGAAGGCGGCCUUCUGGACUGACACUGACGCUGAGGUGCGAAAGCGUGGGUAGCAAACAGGAUUAGAUACCCGAGUAGUC
rnacentral:rRNA from 1 species